UUGUCAGGUGGGAUAAUCGUUACUGGUCCCUCCUUUUGGAGGACAGAUUAGAACAUAAUGAUUGGAGUUCACAUUGAUAUGUGUUAACAAUCAGGACUUGUAACAUCCUGAUUGUUCCUAGGGGCU